GAUAGAUGGAGGCAACGUGUUAUCCCUAUAUUUGUGGGUAAGUGGAGCCAUCCCUAGAUCUGAGGAGCAAGGAAAUUGUUUUGCCAGUACUUCUACCCUAGAAGCCACCACAGCUAUUGGACUAGAGCAGCAGCAUGUCUAGCUAAAAGCUGGAGUGGUGAAGUUGCAUCACGCAUAUUCUUCUCUUGCCUUUGAAGCCAUGCUCAUCAUAUGUGGCGGCCUGGUGAAUGGCCCUUAUGCUCUCAUCACGACAGCUGUAUCAGCUGACUUGGGCACUCAUGAAAGUCUCCAGAGAAAUGCAAAGGCUCUCUCCACUGUUACAGCCAUCAUCGAUGGGACCGGCUCUGUAGGAGCUGCUCUCGAACCCCUGCUUGCCGGCGUGAUCUCCAGCACAGGCUGGGACAAUGUCUUCUACAUGCUGAUAGCAGCAGACGUCCUGGCUUGCCUACUGCUUUCACGAGUGGUAUUCAAAGAAGUGCGAGGCUGGUGUGGCUGCUAUACAAGAAAAAGAGGGUCAGAUACCACUUUUUGAGUAGGCCUGCUCUGGGGCCCUCAGUUAUGGUAAGUCUGCAUAUCCGUCACGAGCCCCUGGUGUCACUUGAGUGCUCUGCUUCCUGGUGUCUUUGGUACUAAUGGUCAAUGGGAGGAAUUAAUGAUGUCGAAAAGCAAGCUGAACUCUCUUCCAAACCACCAGCCAAGGCAAUCGCCAACUAUUUGUCUGUCUGUUUGUUUGUUUUUAAAUGUCCAUCGGAGGGGAGCAGGGUAAAAUGAUGCAGCAAAGUCAACAGCAAAGGAAAUGGCUUAUCAGAGAUCCAUAUCAAGUCCUGAGGCCUCUGCUCCAUAUCAGUAGCCAGUUGCAUCCCUUUUGUUACUGCCCUUUUUAUUAUUAAAACUGGUGCAAAACCA